AUUUUAUUCUUCUACAGAUAAUUGGGUUUUUAUUGCACGGCCUCUCAUUUGUGAUAACAAUCAGAUUGUGUAUAGACAAUCAAUUUUGGAUCAUUACAAGAUGUUUAAUACAGUGGGCAUUCAUUUAAUUGAUGGGCAGGAAGCAUUGAGCAAAGUCCGUCACACAUGAACUGAAGCUAUUGUGUGACGUGUGGGAAGAUUGUGCUGACCCACCCAUGUUUGUGGUUAGGAUCUUUCUCAUAAAAAAAGAUCUUUAAAUUAGCUAAAUGAUUUUGCCAAGUUAUUAAAUUAGCUUUAGUUCAUGCACAGUGGAGGCUGGCCCAUUGCCAGUUGCCUGGAAUAAGGGCCCUAUAUGUGAAAUACCAUGUUGUUCUUCAGUUUCCAUGCCAUCAAGGAUGAGAUGUUCUUGCGCAACAACUUCCAGAGACAAUCCGCUGCCUUACACUUCGCCUCGGUUUCCUAUACGCGGGAUAUGCCUGGGAAGAAGGCAGCUGACAACCCUGGCAAACAGACUGUCUUCACUGCAGGAACUCCACUGGUGGGUUAAAACCUUAACACCGAUGUGUGUUCACACAGGGACCUGAAAUUGCGUAGACAGCUCAAUGUCUCCCACUUCAGCCCAACAUAGGUGCUGGGCCGCAGAGGUCGGACCGCACGUGUGCAUCUGGGAUGAGCAGUUGCGUGAGCAGUUGCAUGAGCAGUAGAGUCACAGACACACUCUCCCGCAUUGGCCAUGGUAAGAUCAUAACCAGCUCUCUCAUCUGUU
rnacentral:lncRNA from 1 species